rnacentral:rRNA from 1 species
ACCUAUAAGACUGGGAUAACUUCGGGAAACCGGAGCUAAUACCGGAUAAUAUUUUGAACCGCAUGGUUCAAAAGUGAAAGACGGUCUUGCUGUCACUUAUAGAUGGAUUCGCGCUGCAUUAGCUAGUUGGUAAGGUAACGGCUUACCAAGGCAACGAUGCAUAGCCGACCUGAGAGGGUGAUCGGCCACACUGGAACUGAGACACGGUCCAG